rnacentral:lncRNA from 1 species
GAGGCGGCGGCGGCGGCCGGAGCUGGAGGGGGAGGAGGGGAGGAACCUGAUCCUCGGUAGCGAAGGGCUGGAGGCAAACACCGAGCUCCCCCUGAGCCGCCUGGGAGCAGGGAGGGUUCUGCUACCCUGAGGGGCCCUCCCCGCGGGGCAGAGGGGUUUCCUCAGCAGUGCCCCGGAGCAGGGACCGCGCCAGCCAGCAGAAACAGCUAGUUGUUGUCUGCAGUGAAGAAUAAUUGGAAGCAUGGUGCCUGUUUCUUUUCCUGUGGGAGGAAGUCACAGCAUCUACUUCUGAAUCUGUGCUUGCCUUGAGGAAAAACGGCAUGGCACAGGAAUGUGGACGCUUUCAACCAGAGGAUUCUGUACGACGGUGUCGGCACACAGUAAGUGCCGAGCACCAUAGAAACGGUUUUUCCGCUUUAAUUGUUAGGCUGGCAGAAUGAGUGCUGAGACCGAGCAUGUGGCCGGAGGUUGAGGGCGAGGAGGUGGUGGUGCUCCUGGGGACGUCUUCCAAGAGGCAGUAUCCUUGAGCUCGGCUCUGAUCACUCAUCCUCGUCUACGGCCAAACGUUGGUUUCUCAUUUCUAGAAGAUGAAAGAUGUGAUGACUCAGGAAAAACUGGAAUCUUAGUAACUGUGGUGGGCAUUGAGCCUUGCCGUCCACAAGAGAAAGCUUGCUGCUCGAGAUGUGAGUCUUCAGAUGUUCCUGCCGCCAUAUCUGACAGCUGCUGCCAAGAUUCCCUGGUGGGAUGGACUCUUAUACCUCAACAACCAGAAGCCCAAGUAAACUCUUCUAUAAAUUGAAUGACUCAUGCUUAAAAAAAAAAACAAAAAACAAA